UGGGGUGUGGUGUAAUUGGUAACACAGCAGUUUCUGGUACUGUCGUUAGGGGUUCGAUUCCUCUCACCCCAG
rnacentral:tRNA from 1 species